rnacentral:tRNA from 1 species
UCCCUGGUGGUCUAGUAGUUAGGAUUCGGCACUUUCACUGCUGUGGCCCAGGUUCAAUCCCUGGUCAGGGAA